AGAGUUUGAUCCUGGCUCAGGAUGAACGCUAGCUACAGGCUUAACACAUGCAAGUCGAGGGGCAGCAUGGUCUUAGCUUGCUAAGGCCGAUGGCGACCGGCGCACGGGUGAGUAACACGUAUCCAACCUGCCGUCUACUCUUGGACAGCCUUCUGAAAGGAAGAUUAAUACAAGGUGGCAUCAUGAGUCCGCAUGUUCACAUGAUUAAAGGUAUUCCGGUAGACGAUGGGGAUGCGUUCCAUUAGAUAGUAGGCGGGGUAACGGCCCACCUAGUCUUCGAUGGAUAGGGGUUCUGAGAGGAAGGUCCCCCACAUUGGAACUGAGACACGGUCCAAACUCCUACGGGAGGCAGCAGUGAGGAAUAUUGGUCAAUGGGCGAGAGCCUGAACCAGCCAAGUAGCGUGAAGGAUGACUGCCCUAUGGGUUGUAAACUUCUUUUAUAAAGGAAUAAAGUCGGGUAUGGAUACCCGUUUGCAUGUACUUUAUGAAUAAGGAUCGGCUAACUCCGUGCCAGCAGCCGCGGUAAUACGGAGGAUCCGAGCGUUAUCCGGAUUUAUUGGGUUUAAAGGGAGCGUAGAUGGAUGUUUAAGUCAGUUGUGAAAGUUUGCGGCUCAACCGUAAAAUUGCAGUUGAUACUGGAUAUCUUGAGUGCAGUUGAGGCAGGCGGAAUUCGUGGUGUAGCGGUGAAAUGCUUAGAUAUCACGAAGAACUCCGAUUGCGAAGGCAGCCUGCUAAGCUGCAACUGACAUUGAGGCUCGAAAGUGUGGGUAUCAAACAGGAUUAGAUACCCUGGUAGUCCACACGGUAAACGAUGAAUACUCGCUGUUUGCGAUAUACAGCAAGCGGCCAAGCGAAAGCGUUAAGUAUUCCACCUGGGGAGUACGCCGGCAACGGUGAAACUCAAAGGAAUUGACGGGGGCCCGCACAAGCGGAGGAACAUGUGGUUUAAUUCGAUGAUACGCGAGGAACCUUACCCGGGCUUAAAUUGCAGAUGAAUUACGGUGAAAGCCGUAAGCCGCAAGGCAUCUGUGAAGGUGCUGCAUGGUUGUCGUCAGCUCGUGCCGUGAGGUGUCGGCUUAAGUGCCAUAACGAGCGCAACCCUUGUUGUCAGUUACUAACAGGUUCCGCUGAGGACUCUGACAAGACUGCCAUCGUAAGAUGUGAGGAAGGUGGGGAUGACGUCAAAUCAGCACGGCCCUUACGUCCGGGGCUACACACGUGUUACAAUGGGGGGUACAGAGGGCCGCUACCACGCGAGUGGAUGCCAAUCCCCAAAACCUCUCUCAGUUCGGACUGGAGUCUGCAACCCGACUCCACGAAGCUGGAUUCGCUAGUAAUCGCGCAUCAGCCACGGCGCGGUGAAUACGUUCCCGGGCCUUGUACACACCGCCCGUCAAGCCAUGGGAGCCGGGGGUACCUGAAGUGCGUAACCGCGAGGAGCGCCCUAGGGUAAAACUGGUGACUGGGGCUAAGUCGUAACAAGGUAGCCGUACCGGAAGGUGCGGCUG
rnacentral:rRNA from 1 species